GAACGAACGCUGGCGGCGCGUCUAAGCAUGCAAGUCGAACGGCAAGAAGGUAGCAAUACCUCCUAGAGUGGCGGACUGGUGAGUAACACGUGGGUGACAUACCCUUCAGAUGGGGAUAGCUAUUAGAAAUAGUAGAUAAUACCGAAUACGAGCACAGGGGUUAGAGAUCUGUGAGGAAAGGAGCUAAGGCUCCGCUGAAGGAAUGGCCUGCGGCCCAUUAGCUAGUUGGUGAGGUAAGAGCCCACCAAGGCGAUGAUGGGUAUCCGGCCUUAGAGGGUGAACGGACACAUUGGGACUGAGAUACGGCCCAGACUCCUACGGGAGGCGGCAGCUAAGAAUAUUCCGCAAUGGACGAAAGUCUGACGGAGCGACGCCGCGUGGAUGAAGAAGGCCGGAAGGUUGUAAAAUCCUUUUGAAACUGAAGAAUAAGCGUUGUAGGGAAUGACAGCGUGGUGACAGUAGGUUUUGAAUAAGCAACGGCUAAUUACGUGCCAGCCGCCGC
rnacentral:rRNA from 1 species